GACGAACGCUGGCGGCGUGCUUAACACAUGCAAGUCGAGCGGUAAGGCCCUUUCGGGGGUACACGAGCGGCGAACGGGUGAGUAACACGUGGGUGACCUGCCCUCAGCUCUGGGAUAAGCCUGGGAAACCGGGUCUAAUACUGGAUAUGACUCCAUGACGCAUGUUGUGGGGUGGAAAGCCUUGUGCGGCUGAGGAUGGGCCCGCGGCCUAUCAGCUUGUUGGUGGGGUGAGGCCUACCAAGGCGACGACGGGUAGCCGGCCUGAGAGGGCGACCGGCCACACUGGGACUGAGACACGGCCCAGACUCCUACGGGAGGCAGCAGUGGGGAAUCUUGCGCAAUGGGCGAAAGCCUGACGCAGCGACGCCGCGUGAGGGAUGACGGGCCUU
rnacentral:rRNA from 1 species